ensembl:lncRNA
GCUUAGUCCUGAUUAAGAAAUAGUAACAAGCCACAUGCUUAUUUAUAGCCUUGUAAAAAGCAGAGCUGGCAACCUCCGUGUCUAAAUGAAACACAAGUUUCACAGUGUGAAGAAGAAUGUAUGCAAGUGGAGGAAGUAUUACCAAGAGGUAAUGAUAAGCUUGUGACUUGUUUUCUAUUUAAGUACUGGAAGAACUAUUAAAACAAAUCCCAUUUAUUGUAUGGACAGAAGACAGCUCCGACUCACUCCGCCCAAGGAAAAAAGCAUAGGAUCGUGGUAGUCUAAAUCCUUCAGAAGCAGCGUUAAAGUCAGUUAUGAAUCCUAAGUUAAGAAUCACAGGAAAUUCUUGGAAGAGAAAGGUCUGAAUAAAACAUUGGGGACAGCUUGGAUAUGCACAUCCCAACUCAAGAUCCCCUUCAAUGAAAGCUAAACCCAGGACAAGCAUUUCGUUUAUGGAUCUCUGCCACAAAGCUAUGACACCAUCUGCCAGCUGGAAAGCAGGAAGACACAGAGAAAAUCUCAGAGCUCCUCUCAAGCAUAGCGAGCAAUUCUCAUAUGAUGUGGGGCUUGAAAUCUGAUCACAGCUUUCCAGUUGACGGUGUACAAGAGUGUGGCUAAGUUACCAGUUGCCCAGGAAAUAAGCAGCCAAACUUCUUGACUUUCACUCAUCUAAACGUAAGAUGUUGCAGAAUCUUGGGGACUGAACGCAAAACUCUCUUUAUGGGAACUUAAAGAGGAAUCAAGAGUCUCUUAGUUUGAAAAUGAGAGGGGUUUGCCUACUAUGCUUAAUAGAAAGUUUCACUAAAAAUUACUUGCGUAUGAUGUUGAUGCUUUAUCUGAGUAUUUUUAAGGCUCUCAUGCUUUGACUGUUGGAUCCUAAAUCUGAAAUACGAGUUUGUUCCACCUUGUGUAGUGGGAGUUCAUCCUGACAUGGGAAGCAAGGUGUUAGAAAUCUAGUUUUGAAAUUCAAGCUUUUAACAUGGUAUAUUUACACAGUACAUUGCAGGAAGAGGUGAGUUUAUUCUCUUGGUCUUGUGAAAAGGCCAAAAGCCAUGCGCAUAUUUGCAACAAGUUGCAUUCAAGCUAGUAAGCCCGUGGAGAGGUAUUUUCUUUGUACUGCUCAGUUUUCCCUGCUCAUUUUAGUCCCAAGUUCACUAAUUUAGCCACUGUAUGAAUGAAUUUCAGAUGAGAUAGAUAGAAUAUCCUGCCUAUUGGGUAUGUUAACUCAGUCGCAGGGCUUUGGAUCCGUAUGAUCAUUGUCCCAUGGUUUCUUAUGGAUUUAAGAGUGAGCAAAGCAAAGCUAGCUUGCUCACAGUUAUAGAGAAUAUACCAGGCUGGUGCAGAUCUGAGUUUGUGACAUGUUUUGUAACUAAGCUGGAAUAAUGGCUCAAUGGAAAAAUCUACGGAAUACCAUCCUUAUGUUUUCAUAUUUUAAUUGCUGCUUGUAAAGUGCAGCAACAUUGCCAGUAGUAAGCAGCUAUAUAUAUAUACUGCAUCUCAGUCUUCUCCACCAAGUAGAAAACCUGUGAGGCAGAGUCUCUGCAGAGACUAUACAGUAAUUAUACUAAAGUUAGUAUAUGGCAGGAGACUUUCCUUAGAACUGCCUUUA